AGGACAUUGAGGUGAAGGGAGACUAACGACUUAGACAAUCAAUGGGAAAACCUUUCACUGGGCAUUAAUAAUCCACGUGCUAUCAUUAAUAAACCUAUUUGGUCCUCACACUGUUGAGCUGUUUUCCUCUUCGCGUUUUGAUUUUUCAUUUUUUAAAUGGAAAAAUUCAUAUAAAAAUAUUUUAAUUUAAAGGAAAAACAUAUUAGUUAUUUUUAAAGUUAUUACAGUUUAAUUUGCCCAAAAUGAGCUCUAUUGAGUGCUUCAUGAAGAGAGGAACAGAAUUUAAUAUAUUUUAUAUUGUUGGGAUUAUAAAUCUCACA
rnacentral:misc_RNA from 1 species